GCGCUGGAAUUGCGCUGGAUUUGCGCUGGAUUUGCGCGGGAGGAUGCGGCGCUCCGGCUCCAAAGCGUGGUUUAGGACGGAAAACGCGGUGUCAGACGUGUGGGCGGCAUAGGUGUAAUGCCCUCAGGAGGAAAUAAACCCAAAGCAGUUCAGUUUGACCCUCUCAGAGAGCAGGAGGCAAAGUCUUCGUGGCCCAGGGCGCCGGGAACAGCCCUGACUUUAUUUCAUUCCUCCUCAAAGGAUUAUUUGGAAUUCGACCUUGCAGGGAAGGAGGUGUUUGUGGCGUGAGCUGAAAUCAAGGUUAACCAUUUCCACGAUAAUGCGAAGCAAUUUAUUGCCGAGUGAGCCUCGGGGAGGAAGAAAACCACCUCGGGGAGGAAGAAAAGCAGGACAACAAAGUGGUUGGUUUUCCCCUCCAUGAAGUGAGGCGAGAAAAUCCAGGUCUGCUCCUGCCCUCACCUCCCGGGGGGGCCCUGGAGAGGUGCUGGGGCAGCACGUGCUGUCCUGCUCCCUCAUUCCCACGUUUGUGCUGGGAAGCCUCUGUUCCCAGGGGAACAUGGAGCAGCUGGAGGAAACAACAAUGACAACAACAAUGACAUGGCCACGCCUGGUUGAUUUUGGGGACCUGGCAGUGCUUUCUGCACCCAAAGCCGGGUUUGGGCAGGAGGUGGGAGAGCUGGAGCUGAGACCUGGCCAUCCCACCAUCCCUGAGAUCAGGAAUCACCCACCUGGAGAAAGCAGAGACUCCGGAACCCUUCGCCAACACCAAAUUUAACCCAGGAAUUGCUAAACCUCCCCUUCCUUUCCCCCUGGUAGAAGCCACGGGAUUAUCACACCUUUGUUUCCUCCUGAGGGGACUAAAUCCGUGCUGCUGACACGUCUGACACUGUGUUUGCCAGCCCAAGGGACAUUUUAGAGCUGCAAACCCCCCUGGAAUCCCAGCAGGGAGCUCGCCCUGGGUCUGCCACACACGAACCAAACGUGGCCACCAGAAACUUCCCCUUCUGUGACUCAGGGAAAUGCCCGAAAUAAAACUCGCAGGGGAACAUUUUC